GUAGGUGGCAAGCGUUGUCCGGAUUUAUUGGGUUUAAAGGGUGCGUAGGCGGUUCCAUAAGUCAGUGGUGAAAUACGGCAGCUCAACUGUCGAGGUGCCAUUGAUACUGCGGAACUUGAGUACUGAUGAGGUAGGCGGAAUUGACGGUGUAGCGGUGAAAUGCUUAGAUAUCGUCAAGAACACCGAUAGCGAAGGCAGCUUACCAAGCAGUAACUGACGCUGAGGCACGAAAGUGCGGGGAUCAAACAGGAUUAGAUACCCUGGUAGUCCGCACAGUAAACGAUGAUUACUCGAUGUUGGCGAUACACAGCCAGCGUCUUAGCGAAAGCGGUAAGUAAUCCACCUGGGGAGUACGCCCGCAAGGGUG
rnacentral:rRNA from 1 species